rnacentral:rRNA from 1 species
UACGUAGGUGGCAAGCGUUGUCCGGAUUUACUGGGCGUAAAGAGCGCGCAGGCGGUUUUUCAAGUCGGAUGUGAAAGCCCCCGGCUUAACUGGGGAGGGCCAUUCGAUACUGUUUAACUUGAAGGCAGGAGAGGGUAGUGGAAUUCCCGGUGUAGUGGUGAAAUGCGUAGAUAUCGGGAGGAACACCAGUGGCGAAGGCGACUACCUGGCCUGUUCUUGACGCUGAGGCGCGAAAGCUGGGGGAGCAAACGGG